UGCCGAUGUGGCGGAAUGGUAGACGCGGUAGACUCAAAAUCUACUUUUAGUGAUAAAGUGCUGGUUCGAGUCCAGUCAUCGGUAU
rnacentral:tRNA from 1 species